UACGGGGGGGGCAAGCGUUGUUCGGAAUUACUGGGCGUAAAGGGCUCGUAGGCGGCCAACUAAGUCAGACGUGAAAUCCCUCGGCUUAACCGGGGAACUGCGUCUGAUACUGGAUGGCUUGAGUAUGGGAGAGGGAUGCGGAAUUCCAGGUGUAGCGGUGAAAUGCGUAGAUAUCUGGAGGAACACCGGUGGCGAAGGCGGCAUCCUGGACCAUUACUGACGCUGAGGAGCGAAAGUGUGGGGAGCGAACAGG
rnacentral:rRNA from 1 species